rnacentral:rRNA from 1 species
UCAUUACAGAGUUGCAAAACUCCCACAAACCAUCGCGAAUCUUACCCGUACGGUUGCCUCGGCGCUGGCGGUCCGGAAAGGCCCUCGGGCCCUCCCGGAUCCUCGGGUCUCCCGCUCGCGGGAGGCUGCCCGCCGGAGUGCCGAAACUAAACUCUUGAUAUUUUAUGUCUCUCUGAGUAAACUUUUAAAUAAGUCAAAACUUUCAACAACGGAUCUCUUGGUUCUGGCAUCGAUGAAGAACGCAGCGAAAUGCGAUAAGUAAUGUGAAUUGCAGAAUUCAGUGAAUCAUCGAAUCUUUGAACGCACAUUGCGCUCGCCAGUAUUCUGGCGAGCAUGCCUGUUCGAGCGUCAUUUCAACCAUCAAGCUCUGCUUGCGUUGGGGAUCCGCGGCUGUCCGCGGUCCCUCAAAAUCAGUGGCGGGCUCGCUAGUCACACCGAGCGUAGUAACUCUACAUCGCUAUGGUCGUGCGGCGGGUUCUUGCCGUAAAACCCCCCAUUUCUAAGGUUGACCUCGGAUCAGGUAGGAAUACCCGCUGAACUUAAGCAUAUCAAUAAGCGGAGGAAAAGAAACCAACAGGGAUUGCCCUAGUAACGGCGAGUGAAGCGGCAACAGCUCAAAUUUGAAAUCUGGCU